UAAGCUUCGGUAUCAUGACUUUCCUUGGGCCAGGUUGGAGCUGCAGAGUGCCAUUGAGUCCUAUGGGAGGCUUCCAAAAAUAUGAACUGGUUCAAAGUCAGAGUUCAACGUUUUUUGCGCUGUUUCCGAUUGUUCGGAUAUGAAAAUUUCUGAACUUUCAGAUCGUACCACGAUAUUUUCGCACGACCACGAUCCAAAACUUUUGCGCUAUUACUGCACAUCAGAAAUUAUCGGAUUUAAUCAGAAUUUUUCCCAUUGUGCUUUUUAAUGUUCCGAAAUUCGGACUUAAUUCGCCCCUUAAUUUGGGUUUAAACCCAUGGGAAAACUCAUAAAUUGGCCUUGAGGUACCCUUUAACUAGAAAAUAUUGGGGAAUAGGUAAAAAUUACUAAUUAACAGUGGUUAAACAAGCAGUUCAUGACUAUGUCUUCAAAUUUAACUAAUUUGGGAGCAGUGUAUCUGAAAACAUUGCAAAAGUAAGGUCUGCUAAAACAAUAUUCUAUAUCAAAUGGAACAGUAAAUACAAUUUGUUGUAGAAUACCUCAGUA